rnacentral:rRNA from 1 species
GAGCGGAUGACGGGAGCUUGCUCCUUGAUUCAGCGGCGGACGGGUGAGUAAUGCCUAGGAAUCUGCCUGGUAGUGGGGGACAACGUUUCGAAAGGAACGCUAAUACCGCAUACGUCCUACGGGAGAAAGCAGGGGACCUUCGGGCCUUGCGCUAUCAGAUGAGCCUAGGUCGGAUUAGCUAGUUGGUGGGGUAAUGGCUCACCAAGGCGACGAUCCGUAACUGGUCUGAGAGGAUGAUCAGUCACACUGGAACUGAGACACGGUCCAGACUCCUACGGGAGGCAGCAGUGGGGAAUAUUGGACAAUGGGCGAAAGCCUGAUCCAGCCAUGCCGCGUGUGUGAAGAAGGUCUUCGGAUUGUAAAGCACUUUAAGUUGGGAGGAAGGGCAGUAAGUUAAUACCUUGCUGUUUUGACGUUACCGACAGAAUAAGCACCGGCUAACUCUGUGCCAGCAGCCGCGGUAAUACAGAGGGUGCAAGCGUUAAUCGGAAUUACUGGGCGUAAAGCGCGCGUAGGUGGUUUGUUAAGUUGGAUGUGAAAGCCCCGGGCUCAACCUGGGAACUGCAUCCAAAACUGGCAGGCUAGAGUACGGUAGAGGGUGGUGGAAUUUCCUGUGUAGCGGUGAAAUGCGUAGAUAUAGGAAGGAACACCAGUGGCGAAGGC